rnacentral:rRNA from 1 species
CUAUGUGUUGUUGGGUAGGGGAGCGUUCUGUAAGCCUGCGAAGGUGACCUGUGAGGGUUGCUGGAGGUAUCAGAAGUGCGAAUGCUGACAUAAGUAACGAUAAAGCGGGUGAAAAGCCCGCUCGCCGGAAGACCAAGGGUUCCUGUCCAACGUUAAUCGGGGCAGGGUGAGUCGACCCCUAAGGCGAGGCCGAAAGGCGUAGUCGAUGGGAAACAGGUUAAUAUUCCUGUACUUGGUGUUACUGCGAAGGGGGGACGGAGAAGGCUAUGUUAGCCGGGCGACGGUUGUCCCGGUUUAAGCAUGUAGGCUGAUUGUCCAGGCAAAUCCGGAUAAUCAAGGCUGAGGUGUGAUGACGAGGCACUACGGUGCUGAAGUAACAAAUGCCCUGCUUCCAGGAAAAGCCUCUAAGCAUCAGGUAACAUCAAAUCGUACCCCAAACCGACACAGGUGGUCAGGUAGAGAAUACCAAGGCGCUUGAGAGAACUCGGGUGAAGGAACUAGGCAAAAUGGUGCCGUAACUUCGGGAGAAGGCACGCUGGUGUGUAGGUGAAG